rnacentral:lncRNA from 1 species
CCUACAAGAGCAAAGUAAUAGGAGAGACAGACACAUGCCAAAGUAUGUAGACAAUUUGCUUCCCAGGCUACACGAUUAUAUUAGUAGCAUCGUUCACAAUCCAAUCACGAAACACGAGCUCGCGCUGGAAUGCGCCGGAAUGUUUGAUGGAUAUUGCGCCCGCAGCAGUAUCGGACGUCACACUAUACUAGGGGGCGGUUUUAUUAAUAUUACAGUCUCUAACUAUUUUAAGAUAAAUCAAUUAACAAUGAUGUCGGGUUUUACUUUUUCUAGACCCUUCCCCCUCUUUAUUACCUGACAGAAAAAAGUCGAUACUGACAGUUAGUCGACCUCAGGGACAAGUCUGAACAGGUGCGUUUUCUCUCUACGUCGUGUUACUUUUCGGUUAGUUCUUUUUCAAAUGACAAUUUCAAAGUGAAUUUUGUAUGAUGUCAAGUGCACGGGAAUUUGUUAGGUUCUUUUGUGCCCAUCGAGAUUUCCCAAGAAUCAAUUUCGUUUCGACUCGGAUGUGUCGGCUCGCUCCAAUCUCUCGCCGAAUAACUUUGGCCGUCCUGCAACUGGCACGGCACACACACGCCCGCCAUCUCAAACAUCUGCCCCUUUUCCUACUUUGUCGGAAGAAAUAAUGCAUCAGCCCGUCUAUAUGAUUCCCUCUUCCAUCUCUUGAUGCCUCUUCUCACAUGCAUAAGGUCGCCCAACUUGUAUUGGAAAGCUCUGCUCCCACUCUUUAAAGAUUCCAUUCGUCUGAAACCCGACAGAUUCAUUUUUCAAUUCGGGACAGUCUCUCACUUGCGGUUUGAGAAUCAAUCGCCUAUGUAAAAGGUGGAGUCUGAGGUCUAUCUAAUAAGGCGCUGGGCCAAUCAUUUCCGUCGGCGGAGUUGCCAAGAUCGGCCUAUACACCUGAGCAAAAACGUCAACUUUUCCCGUGUUCUCACGUUUCCCGGACAACAUUAGACUCCUACGCUUGUUGUAUAGGAGGAUGACGACCUGCUCUUGUAGUUAAUGGCAACCGCAUCGAAUUCCAUAUCCCCCUGGUGCGGUGGACAAAGGGAAAUGAAAGUGGCGGUUGGACUGUGUGGGAGGUCGGAAUCGUUUGAAUUAAAUCAGCUAAGACAUAUGGAUAAGAAUUGACUGGUCAUUUCAAAAGUUAACCCGAACACGCCUAGACGCUUUGAUCGCCACAUAGAAAAAGUCCACGCAUACACAUGGAGGAACUAUUAUUUAUACAAUGCUGACGCUCGGGCAUCGCUGUCUUGAAAAAGUAUUGUCGGGACGUAUGUACCGGACCUGACCAUAUAACUUCAAACGGAAUAAAAGAAAAAGUUGCGCUGGAGUCUGUCCGUAGGGUUUGGAUUCCGUAGUAGUGAUGACGGGGCGGUACGUAUACGAUUGAUGUUAGACCGCACCGCAACGACGUUCAUCUCUACCAGCUAUUUUGAUUCGUUUGUUUGUUUGAUGUGUUGGAUCUAGACAAAAGUCAAUGCGCUAACUCCACACUUCAAACGCCAAUGAAAUAAUUGAAUUGCUCAUUGGCCAGCUAUAUAUAGUAUGGAAUAGGAUAGGUUUGUAAUUGCCGCCUUAUUUAAGAUGACGUGAUCAUUUAGGGCGCCGGUCUAAUGGCCAACAUUUUUUUACGGUUUUCGUAUUUGGCGCGUCUUGUUUUUUGUUUCUCCGCCCCGGGGGGAGAGGCAAUCAACAAGGAGAAAUCUGAUCUAAGUGUGACAGCAGAAGGAUGACCCAUCACUCUUGAAUGAUGCUCCCACUUGGACACUAUAGCUGCUGCUGCUGCUGGUCUUAUAUAAAAUGUGAUGAACAAUCAAGUCUCCGUCUCGACUAUACUAGAGAGAGAGAGGGGCCCCUCGUCUUUAUUUAUAGUGGCUGCACAAUUUUCUCCUUCUUCUUCUUCUUUUUUGUCGUGCUUUGGGCGUCAUCUUUAUUGUCCCGGAUGUUUGGUUAACCGGAUCACAUAUCUCUCUCUUUUUAUUUUUAUUUCUCUUUUCUUUAGAUUUAUAAUAUUUUUCAGGGUCCGGUUUCAUAUGUUCUUUAAUGCCAUUCGUCCGUCUCUAGGGAUGACGCAAAUAUUUAGAUCGAAUGGGAAGAAGAUCUUUCGUUGUCGAUUCCUUGAAAAAUGUACACCGCAAGUUUCUGAACUU